rnacentral:rRNA from 1 species
UACGUAGGGACCAAGCGUUGUUCGGAUUUACUGGGCGUAAAGGGCGCGUAGGCGGCUUGACAAGUCACUUGUGAAAUCUCCGGGCUUAACUCGGAACGGCCAAGUGAAACUGUCAUGCUAGAGUGCAGAAGGGGCAAUCGGAAUUCUUGGUGUAGCGGUGAAAUGCGUAGAUAUCAGGAGGAACACCGAUGGCGAAGGCAGGUCUCUGGGCCGAUACUGACGCUGAGGAGCGAAAGCGUGGGGAGCGAACAGG